AACGAACGCUGGCGGCAUGCCUAACACAUGCAAGUCGAACGAGACCUUCGGGUCUAGUGGCGCACGGGUGCGUAACGCGUGGGAACCUGCCCUUAGGUUCGGAAUAACUCCCCGAAAGGGGUGCUAAUACCGGAUAAUGUCUUCGGACCAAAGAUUUAUCGCCUUUGGAUGGGCCCGCGUUGGAUUAGCUAGUUGGUAGGGUAAAAGCCUACCAAGGCGACGAUCCACAGCUGGUCUGAGAGGAUGAUCAGCCACACUGGGACUGAGACACGGCCCAGACUCCUACGGGAGGCAGCAGUGGGGAAUAUUGGACAAUGGGCGAAAGCCUGAUCCAGCAAUGCCGCGUGAGUGAUGAAGGCCUUAGGGUUGUAAAGCUCUUUUACCCGGGAUGAUAAUGACAGUACCGGGAGAAUAAGCGCCGGCUAACUCCGUG
rnacentral:rRNA from 1 species